rnacentral:rRNA from 2 species
UAGGGAAUCUUCGGCAAUGGACGAAAGUCUGACCGAGCAACGCCGCGUGAGUGCAGAAGGUUUUCGGAUCGUAAAACUCUGUUGUUAGAGAAGAACAAGGACGUUAGUAACUGAACGUCCCCUGACGGUAUCUAACCAGAAAGCCACGGCUAACUACGUGCCAGCAGCCGCGGUAAUACGUAGGUGGCAAGCGUUGUCCGGAUUUAUUGGGCGUAAAGCGAGCGCAGGCGGUUUCUUAAGUCUGAUGUGAAAGCCCCCGGCUCAACCGGGGAGGGUCAUUGGAAACUGGGAGACUUGAGUGCAGAAGAGGAGAGUGGAAUUCCAUGUGUAGCGGUGAAAUGCGUAGAUAUAUGGAGGAACACCAGUGGCGAAGGCGGCUCUCUGGUCUGUAACUGACGCUGAGGCUCGAAAGCGUGGGGAGCAAACAGG